ACGGGUGAGUAAUACGUAGGAAUCUUCCUUAAAGUGGGGGAUAACCCGGGGAAACCCGGGCUAAUACCGCAUAAUUUCUGAGGAAAAAAGGAGGGGACUCUUCGGAGCCUUUCGCUUUAAGAUGAGCCUACGCCGGAUUAGCUAGUUGGUAGGGUAAAGGCCUACCAAGGCAACGAUCCGUAGCUGGUUUGAGAGAACGACCAGCCACACUGGGACUGAGAUACGGCCCAGACUCCUACGGGAGGCAGCAGUGGGGAAUAUUGGACAAUGGGCGAAAGCCUGAUCCAGCAAUGCCGCGUGUGUGAUGAAGGCCUGCGGGUUGUAAAGCACUUUCAGUGGGAAAGAAAUACUCAAAGCUAAUAACUUUGAGGGUUGACGUUACCCAAAGAAGAAGCACCGGCUAACUCUGUGCCAGCAGCCGCGGUAAUACAGAGGGUGCAAGCGUUAAUCGGAGUUACUGGGCGUAAAGGGCGCGUAGGCGGAUAUUUAAGUCGGAUGUGAAAUCCCUGGGCUUAACCUAGGAAUUGCAUUCGAUACUGGGUAUCUGGAGUAUGGUAGAGGCAAGCGGAAUUCCCGGU
rnacentral:rRNA from 1 species